UAAAAGUGCUAUCCAUCCAUCUUCC
rnacentral:piRNA from 1 species